UUGGAAAUUUUUGGGGGUGUUUCUGACGUAUUCGGUCAAUGAUGAUUCCGAUCUAAAUCGGUUGAUGAUCUGAGACUUUUAUCGCGAUAUCUGGUUGUAUCUUCACUAUUCGAACGUUUUGGGUCGCUUUUCCGACGUUCUUGAGUAGAUUCCGGCGAGGCUUCAGAUUUUAGGGUUUCUGCUGGGUUUCUGCUGUUCGAAACUGGCAUUUUUCUGUUAAUCAAAGACCGAUCUUCUCCGGUCGCGAAGAAGGAGGGUAAAUCUG
rnacentral:lncRNA from 1 species